AAUUGAUGAACAUUAUUAUAUGUAACCAGGAAAGUAAAUAUUUCAGUAGACAGUAGGCAGUGGGACAUGUACCGGAGGUACAAUCACUGUCUGGACAAAGUGACAAAGUAACAAAGUUUUAAGAAUUACUUAAAAGAUAUACCGGAACUGAUGUACUUGGCGAAGAAAUUUCAAAAAGGUGCCAUAAUACAGUACAAAUUCCAUUCUAAAAUAUGCUUUAUUUCACUUGGGAAAAGGUGUCAAAAUCACAAGAGAAAAUCUUCACUCAAGAUAAGUAUAUUGCUGUUAUGAAAACAAUACUUAGUCUGUAUCACAGUGUGUUUAUUUAGAAUAUAACUCUAAAACAUUUGCAUAAUGUAUUUGUUUAUUUAGCAAGAAUUUUGUUUAUACUUAUAUGCUCAAAGUAAGCUGCUAGCCUGGUUAUGCCGCACAAAAGAACAUCUUAUAAAAAUUUGUCACACCACAUAGAAGAACAUUAAUAGAUCCUGGUCACAACGCACAGAAGAACAUUAUGAUAGAGCCUGGUCACACCACACAGAAGACAUCAAUAUUGCCUCGUCGUGCCAUGUUUAUCAAGUAACGCCGGAAUGUGAAUAAAACGCACGAUUCGUGCAAUAAGUAACACAGAAUUGUGCAAUAAAUAGCGGAUACCUGACAGGAUUUCCAACGCGAUUCUUCAACAACCUAAGUUUCCAGCCGUCAGUUUAGUCAACAGUUGUCAAUCUGUACGCAGUAUCAAGAAUUCAAACACGAAAUACUGACGAGAAAGGGAAGAGUUGUAUCAAGGUAUUU